GUCGAACGAAGCACUUAAGACGGAUUACUUCGGUUUGAAGUCUUAUUUGACUGUAUUGGCGGACGGGUGAGUAACGCGUGGGUAACCUGCCUCAUACAGGGGGAUAACAGUUAGAAAUGACUGCUAAUACCGCAUAAGCGCACGGUCUCGCAUGGGACGGUGUGAAAAACUCCGGUGGUAUGAGAUGGACCCGCGUCUGAUUAGCUGGUUGGUGAGGUAAGGGCUCACCAAGGCGACGAUCAGUAGCCGGCCUGAGAGGGUGAACGGCCACAUUGGGACUGAGACACGGCCCAAACUCCUACGGGAGGCAGCAGUGGGGAAUAUUGCACAAUGGGGGAAACCCUGAUGCAGCGACGCCGCGUGAAGGAAGAAGUAUUUCGGUAUGUAAACUUCUAUCAGCAGGGAAGAAAAUGACGGUACCUGACUAAGAAGCCCCGGCUAACUACGUGCCAGCAGCCGCGGUAAUACGUAGGGGGCAAGCGUUAUCCGGAUUUACUGGGUGUAAAGGGAGCGUAGGCGGUUCAGCAAGUCAGAAGUGAAAGCCCGGGGCUCAACUCCGGGACUGCUUUUGAAACUGUUGAACUAGAUUGCAGGAGAGGUAAGUGGAAUUCCUAGUGUAGCGGUGAAAUGCGUAGAUAUUAGGAGGAACACCAGUGGCGAAGGCGGCUUACUGGACUGUGAAUGACGCUGAGGCUCGAAAGCGUGG
rnacentral:rRNA from 1 species